CGGGGGGAGCAAGCGUUGUUCGGAUUUACUGGGCGUAAAGGGCGCGUAGGCGGCCACCGCAAGUCAGUUGUGAAAUCUCUGGGCUUAACCCAGAAAGGUCAACUGAUACUGCGGGGCUAGAGUGCAGAAGGGGCAACUGGAAUUCUCGGUGUAGCGGUGAAAUGCGUAGAUAUCGAGAGGAACACCUGCGGCGAAGGCGGGUUGCUGGGCUGACACUGACGCUGAGGCGCGAAAGCUAGGGGAGCGAACGGGAUUAGAUACCCCGGUAGUCCUAGCCUUAAACGAUGAAUGCUUAGUGUCUGGGGUUUUAUAGUCCCCGGGUGCCGUCGCUAACGCUUUAAGCAUUCCGCCUGGGGAGUACGGUCGCAAGACUG
rnacentral:rRNA from 1 species